rnacentral:rRNA from 1 species
UACGUAGGGUGCAAGCGUUAUCCGGAAUUAUUGGGCGUAAAGAGCUCGUAGGCGGUUUGUCGCGUCUGCUGUGAAAACCCGAGGCUCAACCUCGGGCCUGCAGUGGGUACGGGCAGACUAGAGUGCGGUAGGGGAGAUUGGAAUUCCUGGUGUAGCGGUGGAAUGCGCAGAUAUCAGGAGGAACACCGGUGGCGAAGGCGGGUCGCUGGGCCGAUACUGACGCUGAGGAGCGAAAGCGUGGGGAGCGAACAGG